ensembl:lncRNA
AAGGCCUAAUGUCUUUUACUUUUUAUUUGAAUCUACUUUUUAUUAUUUUUUUGCUACCUUUACAGUCAAGCAUAAAUAAUGAAACAACCACAUUCAUUUUAAUUUUUUCUUAUUAGGGUGGUUAACAGUUAUCAGUGACCCUCCAAGGCCAUGUCUCAGUGUGUGGACAACUGUCUCCGAGUCCCUCACUUCUCAGCAUGGACAUAAGAAGUCUGGCUGAACAGGACAUGGCCCUUAUCUCCUUUUACAAGCAACCUAAUGUGGAAUGGGGACGACCCCUGAAUUGCAAACUUGAAGGAGAUACUGCUGUUGGCCAGGGUGUAACUCGCCUUUUCUUCUCAACAUGCAUGGAAAAGCUGAGGUCUGGAUUUUGCAUCAAUUUUGUCCUGAAACUGCCACAAUUACACUGGAGGAUUGUCCAGACCUGGACAUAACAGAAACAAUCAGGCUUCUUGAAGGUGAAUCCAAACCGUCAGAGAGGGAUGCAGGAAGUGUCCAGGAAUUGGCCUUUGCCUGGGACCUCCCAUCCCUUACUGAGAAGAACAGGAGGUGGAUUUUUGAAAAGCUUCUAAUCCAUGCUGUG